UACGGGGGGAGCAAGCGUUGUUCGGAUUUACUGGGCGUAAAGGGCGCGUAGGCGGCACCGCAAGUCGACUGUGAAAUCUCCGGGCUUAACCCGGAAAGGUCAGCCGAUACUGCGGGGCUAGAGUGCAGAAGGGGCAACUGGAAUUCUCGGUGUAGCGGUGAAAUGCGUAGAUAUCGAGAGGAACACCUGCGGCGAGGGCGGGUUGCUGGGCUGACACUGACGCUGAUGCGCGAAAGCUAGGGGAGCGAACGGG
rnacentral:rRNA from 1 species